AUUGAACGCUGGCGGCAGGCCUAACACAUGCCAGUCGAGCGGAUGAAGGGAGCUUGCUCCUGGAUUCAGCGGCGGACGGGUGAGUAAUGCCUAGGAAUCUGCCUGGUAGUGGGGGAUAACGUCCGUAAACGGGCGCUAAUACCGCAUACGUCCUGAGGUAGAACGUGGGGGAUCUUCGGACCUCACGCUAUCAGAUGAGCCUAGGUCGGAUUAGCUAGUUGGUGGGGUAAAGGCCUACCAAGGCGACGAUCCGUAACUGGUCUGAGAGGAUGAUCAGGCACACUGGAACUGAGAAACGGUCCAGACUCCUACGGGAGGAAGCAGUGGGGAAUAUUGGACGAUGGGCGAAAGCCUGAUCAAGCCAUGCCGCGUGUGUGAAGAAGGUCUUAGGAUUGUAAAGCACUGUAAGUUGGGAGGAAGGGCAGUAAGUUAAUACCUGGCUGUUUUGACGUUACCAACAGAAUAAGCACCGGCUAACUUCGUG
rnacentral:rRNA from 1 species